CCCAUCCCCAUGGUAACGGGGCGUCCCCACCUGAAUUCGGAGCUGCAGUGCUUGGUGUGUCUAUGCAGGAAACACUGGGGCACUUCUGCAUAAGUCUACAUAACAGCAGUGUGUGCUUGCUCAGCAGAUAUCUGCACGAGUCAGAGCCUCCAAACAGAUGCCAGUACCAAAGCCCUUGCAAUGGAGAGCUAUAUGCCUUGUCUCAGUCUACAGUAUCUGUGUGUGCUACUAACACCUCUCCUGUCACUCCCACCUCUGUGGUAGUGGAGACAGGUCAGUGGACACAGCUUGGGAGCAGGAAGAGAGGACUGCAGAUUUCCUCUCAAUACAUCAAAGGGGUGACGUGUUCCUCAUAUACAUGUAUAUUUCUGUGUAACACUUUUAAAAUCCCAACAGAAAUGAACCCCACUUGAA